AUGAAAUUGUUCUGGCUUCUGUUCUGCUUGGUGGCAGGUGAACUGUCUGAGCAACUGGAGGAGUCAGGGCCAGGAAUUGUAAAGCCCUCAGAGUCCCUUACACUCACCUGUUCUGUCACUGGUGGCUCCGUUACUAGCAGUUACUACUGGCACUGGAUCCGACAGUGUCCAGGGAAAGGGCUAGUGUGGAUUGGAUAUUGGAGUGGGAGUACAAAAUACAACCCUGUUUUCCAAAACAGAGUCUCUAUCAGCACAGCAGAUACAUCUAAGAAUCAGUUCUCUCUGCAGCUAAAAUCACUCACAGCUGGACCAGCGUUGUAUUACUGUGCAAGAAGCACAAUGUGA